rnacentral:lncRNA from 1 species
CUGAAAUGCCCAUCCAAGGAUUCUUUAAGUGACAUAUGAUCCAGAGGCACAGAGAGACACAGCAGAGGAGAACUCUCCCCUUAGAGACCCAGUUAGAUGCCACAGAAUGUGGCAGACUGUCUUUCAGCCAGUCUAUGAGAUGAAUAUUGAUCAGGAAGAACCACCCCCAUAGAUCUGUUUUGAAAUGAGAGGGAAAAUAAAGAAGAAAGGAAGGAGGAUCCCCAAAGCAAUGCAGCCUGGAGUGUCUUUCAACAAUACGUGGGAACUGAAAUGCAAAGGAGUCACGACUUUGGCUCUGCCCAGGAAGCCCAGCCAUCUACUAAUGUGA